GACGUAAUGGUCAACGGUCUAUACGAGUGAAUUCUAUCUUUUUACCCCUUACCUUUAUAAAUUAAAUUCAUUCUACUUUGU
rnacentral:lncRNA from 1 species